UCCAGCCUACGGGGAGCAGCAGAGGGGAAAAUUGAAAAAUGGGGGAAACCCUGAUGCAGCGACGCCGCGUGAGUGAAGAAGUAUUUCGGUAUGUAAAGCUCUAUCAGCAGGGAGGGAGAAAGACGGUACCUGACUAAGAAGCCCCGGCUAACUACGUGCCAGCAGCCGCGGUAAUACGUAGGGGGCAAGCGUUAUCCGGAUUUACUGGGUGUAAAGGGAGCGUAGACGGCUGUGCAAGUCUGAAGUGAAAGCCCAGGGCUCAACCCUGGGACUGCUUUGGAAACUGUGGAGCUAGAGUGCUGGAG
rnacentral:rRNA from 1 species